CUACGGGGGGCACCAGUUAGGUAUAAUCUACAAUGCGCGCAAGUGUGAUAGUUUGAGCCAAAGUGCGUUCCACAUGGAAUGCUUUUAUGAAAUGUAAAAAGUUUCACGAAUAAGGACUGGGUAAGACUGGUGCCAGCCGCCGCGGUAAUACCAGCGGUCCAAGUCGCAGCCAUUAUUAUUGGGUCUAAAACAUCCGUAGCUUGCUUAAUAAGUUCCCUGUGAAAUCCAACUUCUUAAGAGUCGGGCGGGCAGGGAGUACUGUUAAGCUAGAGACUGGGAGACGUAAGGAGUACGUUCAAAGUAGCGGUAAAAUGUUUUCAUCUUGAACGGACUAACAAUAGCGAAGGCACCUUACGAGAACAGUUCUGACAGUCAGGGAUGAAGGCUAGGGGCGCAAAACGGAUUAGAUACCCGUGUAGUC
rnacentral:rRNA from 1 species